rnacentral:rRNA from 1 species
CCUACGGGUGGCUGCAGUGGGGAAUAUUGCACAAUGGGCGCAAGCCUGAUGCAGCCAUGCCGCGUGUGUGAAGAAGGCCUUCGGGUUGUAAAGCACUUUCAGCGGGGAGGAAGGCGGUGAGGUUAAUAACCUCAUCGAUUGACGUUACCCGCAGAAGAAGCACCGGCUAACUCCGUGCCAGCAGCCGCGGUAAUACGGAGGGUGCAAGCGUUAAUCGGAAUUACUGGGCGUAAAGCGCACGCAGGCGGUCUGUCAAGUCGGAUGUGAAAUCCCCGGGCUCAACCUGGGAACUGCAUUCGAAACUGGCAGGCUAGAGUCUUGUAGAGGGCGGUAGAAUUCCAGGUGUAGCGGUGAAAUGCGUAGAGAUCUGGAGGAAUACCGGUGGCGAAGGCGGCCCCCUGGACAAAGACUGACGCUCAGGUGCGAAAGCGUGGGGAGCAAACAGGAUUAGAUACCCGGGUAGUC